AGUGGGAUGAGGGGCGGGACAGAGCAAUGCUGCCUGAACUGACAGCAAAUUUAAAUUACUGAGCUUUCUUUUUAUUUUUUUUCUUUCUUUGCAUGUGUGUCCCCCUUUUUUUUUUUUUCUUUUUCUUUUUUUUUUUUGGUAUUUUUCUACUCUGCGACAAACUGAAAAGCUUCUAGCACACGCUAAUUUAACAACCCUGCUUCGUCGUCUUUUUUUUCUCCCCUUCUGCUUCCAGGAUAAUUAAAAGAGAAACCUGUAAAGGCAACAUUCCUUCAAGCAAGUUGGUGCUGCAACGUGCUGAUAUUCAGUUCUUUUCAAAAGAAUAGCAAGGAGUAGCUCAGCAGACAAAGAAGAGAGCAGGUGUGGAAGGCAGGGGAGAACAGUGGGACUCCUUCAAGACAGGAAAAAAUACUCUAAGUCAUGGGGAGAAAAAGAAAGAAUAACUUGCUUUGUACUACCAGUGCCUACAGAGGAGGAGCUAAACUACAUUCCCAACAGCAGUUCUGCCUCUUUCUCCACAUGCCUCACUUUUUGCAUAAGAGAGGAUGAUACUUUGUCGUGCUGUAUUAAAGAUAAUUAUAUCCU